UACGUAGGGAGCAAGCGUUGUCCGGAAUCAUUGGGCGUAAAGCGCGCGUAGGCGGCCUUGUAAGUCCGUUGUGAAAGUCAAAGGCUCAACCUUUGAAAGCCGAUGGAUACUGCAAGGCUGGAGUCCGGAAGAGGCGAGUGGAAUUCCUGGUGUAGCGGUGGAAUGCGCAGAUAUCAGGAGGAACACCAAUAGCGAAGGCAGCUCGCUGGGACGGUACUGACGCUAAGGCGCGAAAGCGUGGGGAGCGAACAGG
rnacentral:rRNA from 1 species